rnacentral:rRNA from 1 species
CAAUAGCGUAUAUUGAAGUUGUUGCGGUUAAAAAGCUCGUCGUUGGAUUUCUGUUGAGGUCGAACCGUGCCGCCCUAUGGGUGCGCAACUGGCUCGGCUUCGGCAUCUUCCUGGAGAGCGCAUCUGCACUUAACUGUGUGGAUCGUACUUCAAGUCAGUUACUUUGAGGAAUUGUGAGUGUUUCAAGCAGGCUUACGCCGUUGAAUCCGUUAGCAUGGAAUAAUAGGAUAGGACCUCGGUUCUAUUUUGUUGGUUUUGAGAGCUGGGGCAGCGAUUGAUAGGGACGGAUGGGGGCGUCCGAACUUUACUGUCAGAGGUGAAAUUCUUAGAUCGGUCAAAGGCGAACUACUGCGAACGCAUUCGCCAAGAAUGUUUUCUUUAA